rnacentral:lncRNA from 1 species
GAACGACGCAGAACAGAGCAAGUUGGUAGAAGAAAUCUGAAACCCACACUGCAUCCAUUCACUUCAUUGCAGAAUUCAGAUAAUAUACUUGUUCAGCGACUGGAGAUCGAAAGUAAGAAGAACUUAGCAACAAUGUUCUCCUCGACCACAUUUCAUGCUGGGCUCACAUCGGCCAUGCCAGUGAUCGAUCAAAAACGGCGGACGCUCUAGAGAGACGACGUGAUCAAGGAGACAUCGGCAUACUACGUACUAGAGCUUACUACUCGAUCUAGGCAAACUGGUACGUGCUAGGUGCUACAGCUUCAAUCAUCGUCUUCCGAAUUCACGUGCAGGUGGGCAAGCCAUAGAACGAAGCAAAGGAACAGAACGAGAAACACUACGAAUGAAUCAUCGCUGAGGGGCGCGGAUGCCGGGGCCGGGGCCGGCGCCGGCCCGUCCUCAGUACUGGGCGGCAGCGAUGAGGAGGGUGGUGGCGAGGACGGUCGUGGCGGCGGCGAGGGGCCCCUGGAGCGAGGCGCCGGACCAUGGUGGUGAGGGGGCAGCGGUCGGGCCGGUGGGCGGGGGCGGCN